GGCGAGAUGGCCGAGUGGUCUGAGGCGCCAGACUAGGGAUCUGGUCCUCCGGGGCGUGGGUUCGAAUCCCACUUUCGUCA
rnacentral:tRNA from 1 species